GAAACCUCCCUCAGAAUGGGGAAUAUCUCCGAGAAAUCGGAGUUAAUACCGCAUAAGACCACAGUUUGGCAUCAAACAGGGGUCAAAGCAGUAAUGCGUUUUGAGAUGGUCCUGCGGCCUAUCAGCUAGUUGGUGGGGUAACGGCCUACCAAGGCUAUGACGGGUAUCCGGUCUGAAAGGAUGAACGGACACACUGGAACUGAGAUACGGUCCAGACUCCUACGGGAGGCAGCAGUGGGGAAUUUUGGACAAUGGGGGCAACCCUGAUCCAGCGACGCCGCGUGGAGGACGAAGGCCUUCGGGUUGUAAACUCCUUUUGGAGGGGAAGAAAAAAAUGACGGUACCCUCAGAAAAAGCCACGGCUAACUACGUGCCAGCAGCCGCGGUAAUACGUAGGUGGCGAGCGUUACUCGGAAUUACUAGGCGUAAAGCGUAUGUAGGCGGUUAGAUAAGUCUUUAGUGAAAUUUCUCGGCUCAACCGGGAAAGGUCUAA
rnacentral:rRNA from 1 species